rnacentral:rRNA from 1 species
AGAGUUUGAUCAUGGCACAGAACGAACGCUGGCGGCGUGGAUAAGACAUGCAAGUCGAGCGCUGAUUACGGGGUAGCAAUAUUCCGUAGUCGGAGCGGCGCAAGGGUGCGUAACACGUGGGUAAUCUGCCAUGAAGUUUGGAAUAACUCGCUGAAAGGCGAGCUAAUGCCGGAUGUGAAAACUGGGAGGCAUCUCUUGGUUUUCAAAGCUGGGGACCGCAAGGCCUGGCGCUUCAUGAUGAGCCCGCGGCCUAUCAGCUAGUUGGUAAGGUAACGGCUUACCAAGGCUAAGACGGGUAGCUGGUCUGAGAGGACGACCAGCCACACUGGAACUGAGACACGGUCCAGACACCUACGGGUGGCAGCAGUCGAGAAUUUUUCACAAUGGGCGCAAGCCUGAUGGAGCGACGCCGCGUGGGGGAUGAAUGGCUUCGGCCCGUAAACCCCUGUCAUUUGCGAUCAACCGUUGUCGUUUAAGAGAUGACAACCUGAUAGUAGCGAAAGAGGAAGGGACGGCUAACUCUGUGCCAGCAGCCGCGGUAAUACGGAGGUCCCAAGCGUUGUUCGGAUUCACUGGGCGUAAAGGGUGCGUAGGUGGCGGGGUAAGUCGGAUGUGAAAUCUCCGAGCUCAACUCGGAAAUGGCAUUGGAAACUGCUCUGCUCGAGGGUUGGAGGGGGGACUGGAAUACUUGGUGUAGCAGUGAAAUGCGUAGAUAUCAAGUGGAACACCAGUGGCGAAGGCGAGUCCCUGGACAACUCCUGACACUGAGGCACGAAAGCUAGGGGAGCAAACAGGAUUAGAUACCCUGGUAGUCCUAGCCGUAAACGGUG